rnacentral:rRNA from 1 species
UACGUAGGGGCCGAGCGUUGUCCGGAGUUACUGGGCGUAAAGCGUGCGCAGGCGGCGCGUUCUGCCCGGCGUGAAAGCCCCCGGCUCAACCGGGGAGGGUCGUCGGGGACGGGCGCGCUUGAGGGUAUCAGGGGCUGGUGGAAUUCCCGGUGUAGUGGUGAAAUGCGUAGAGAUCGGGAGGAACACCUGUGGCGAAGGCGGCCAGCUGGGAUACACCUGACGCUGAGGCACGAAGGCGUGGGGAGCGAACAGGAUUAGAUACCCCCGUAGUCCCUGAGCGGGCU